UGCGUAGCGGUGGACAUGUGGUUUAUUCGAUGCACGCGAAGAACCUUACCUACUCUUGACAUCCAGAGAACUUUCCAGAGAUGGAUUGGUGCCUUCGGGAACUCUGAGACAGGUGCUGCAUGGCUGUCGUCAGCUCGUGUUGUGAAAUGUUGGGUUAAGUCCCGCAACGAGCGCAACCCUUAUCCUUUGUUGCCAGCGGUUAGGCCGGGAACUCAAAGGAGACUGCCAGUGAUAAACUGGAGGAAGGUGGGGAUGACGUCAAGUCAUCAUGGCCCUUACGAGUAGGGCUACACACGUGCUACAAUGGCGCAUACAAAGAGAAGCGACCUCGCGAGAGCAAGCGGACCUCAUAAAGUGCGUCGUAGUCCGGAUUGGAGUCUGCAACUCGACUCCAUGAAGUCGGAAUCGCUAGUAAUCGUAGAUCAGAAUGCUACGGUGAAUACGUUCCCGGGCCUGGGGAUCCCGA
rnacentral:rRNA from 1 species